rnacentral:tRNA from 1 species
UGUAGCUCAGUGGUAGAGCAUGUGCUUUGCAUGCACAAGACCCUGGGUUCAAUCCCCUGUA